GAGAGACCUAUGAAGGAAAAAGUAAUUGGCAACCGAACUGUCCAGAGAAAAAAUGCCGUUGGCUGGAAGCAUUUUGCAUGGUCGGCCCAAUGAAAGACGUUCCAGAGGUUUUAUAUCGAAUUUCUAGUAGGUAUAAACGUAUCGCAGGCGUUAACUGCAUGAAGCGGAUGUACAUAACAUCAACUAGGGUGGCAACGCGGGUAAAACUCUCGUCCCUUAU
rnacentral:ncRNA from 1 species